rnacentral:rRNA from 1 species
GACGUAGGGCGCGAGCGUUGUCCGGAUUUAUUGGGCGUAAAGAGCUCGUAGGCGGCUUGUCGCGUCGUCCGUGAAAACCUGCGGCUCAACUGCAGGCUGGCGGUCGAUACGGGCAGGCUGGAGUUCGGUAGGGGAGACUGGAAUUCCUGGUGUAGCGGUGAAAUGCGCAGAUAUCAGGAGGAACACCGGUGGCGAAGGCGGGUCACUGGUCCAUUACUGACGCUGAGGUGCGAAAGCGUGGGGAGCAAACAGG